GAUGAACGCUGGCGGCGUGCCUAAUACAUGCAAGUCGAGCGAACGGACGAGAAGCUUGCUUCUCUGAUGUUAGCGGCGGACGGGCGAGUAACACGUGGAUAACCUACCUAUAUGACUGGGAUAACUUCGGGAAACCGGAUCUAAUACUAGAUCAUAUUUUGAACCGCUUGGAUCAAAAGUGAAUGACGGUCUUGCCGUUUCUUAUAGCUGGUUCCGCGCUGCAUUAGCUAGUUGGUAAGGUAACGGCCUACCAAGGCAACGAUGCAUAGCCGACCUGAGAGGAUGAUCGGCCACACUGGAACUGAGACACGGUCCAGACUCCUACGGGAGGCAGCAGUAGGGAAUCUUCCGCAAUGGGCGAAAGCCUGACGGAGCAACGCCGCGUGAGUGAUGAAGGUCUUCGGAUCGUAAAACUCUGUUAUUAGGGAAGAACAUAUGUGUAAGUAACUGUGCACAUCUUGACGGUACCUAAUCAGAAAGCCACGGCUAACUACGUG
rnacentral:rRNA from 1 species